ensembl:snoRNA
GCCUGUCCCAUGCCAAUGCAAACUGUUCCUUUGAAACCACUGCCUAGCCUCUGUGCUACAGGCUAUGGGCACUGAAGCAGAUUGCACUAUG